AAGGACCAAUGGCUGCCUCAGCAGACAUGUGCACAGCCAGAUAGCAUCAAGGAACAGAAUGGCAGCCCUUUUAAUGAUCUUGCUCCACCUCAGAAAAAUGGAGCUGCAGAAUUUGGGUCUCAGGUGCGGUGUGCCUCUCCAGCUUUGGCUCCUCAGUGCUGGCGACCCUGACAGGCCUAUUGGAAGAGGCAAUCAACGUAACAGAGAAUGGAAGAUCUGCCAGAUGGACUCGAUGCCAAGAGAGAUGCCCGAGGGCAGUCAUUCUACAGGAAUGGGAAGAUGAGAACCCACAUCACACUGUUCAAAUGUCCCCUUCCCAGAGAUCCCCAAAUUAUUCACCCAAAAGACCUUAUCACACAGCAGGAAGAGGUCCCAGAAAACCUGGCUUUUCUGAGACAAGACAGCAUGGUGCCCAAUGCCUGGGCUUUGGAGUCAGGCCAGCAUGAGCUGUAAGCCCAAGUUUACUCUUCAUAGGAGUUAAUUUUAGUCUUUUCUGUCUCUGUGUUCUUAACCUUUGACCUGAACCUUUAACCUUAAACUUGAAACUUUAUCCUUAAAUGAAGCAUAAAACCUACUCACAUUAAAGUAGGGGGGGGUGGCAACAAAUUCGUGCACCAGGAGUUCUAGAGCUGGGGGGAGGGACGAGAAAUCUGCAACAUACAAAGUGCAGCUGUGCACAGUAAUACAGGUGAAUCUCACACACUAACGCUGAGUGACAGGUCAGACAAGAGAGUAUAUACAUAGUGUACACUGCACGUGUGCAGGGUGAAAGUGUAUGCGAGCACGUGUGCAAAGUAAAAGUGUACACCAGCAUGUGUGUAAAGUAAGAGUGUAUACCAGUGUGUGUGCAAAGUGAACAUAUACAGCAGCAUGUGUGCAGAGUGAAAGUGUACACCAGUGUGUGUGCAAAGUGAAAGCUGUGGGAACCAAACCUGCGUUGUCAUAAGCUGAGGUGGGGUUACCUAAUGUGGGGGGGAGGGGAUGGAGGUGUGGCUGUGAGACAGGUGAGCAUCUCUGGUGUGGCUUCUCUUACACCAGAGAGUCUCAACCUGUGGGUCGAGACCCCUUUGGGAGUCAAACAACCGUUUCACGGGGGUCGUCUAAGACCACCAGAACACAUAGAGAUUUACAUUACGAUUCAUAAUACUUAGCAAGAUUACAGUCAGGAAGUAGCAGUGAAAAUAAUCUUGUGGUUGGGGGUUACUACAACAUGAGGGUCUGUAUUAAAGUGACAGGGCAUCAGAGCCACUGCCUUAGACAGGGUGAGCAGGGCCAAGGCUAGAUCAUCAUCUAGUCACAAAGCACGCGACCUCUCUCACGAAUACGUCAGUGACUGAUUAAACCAAGGGAAUAGGUUUAGGGUGUUUGGACUCCUUACUGUCUUGGCCUUUCAUGGGCUCAAAAGUGACCAAUCCCAUUAAAAAUUACCUUCAAUCCACAUCCAGUUCCUGCCGUAUACACACACGCGCGCGCACACACACACAUGCACACACACAUGUGCACACACACUCACACACACACACACACACACACACACACACACACACGCACGCACAUGCACACCACACGCACAGCCUGUCAGAGCAGCAUGGUUGUAUUCAUCCUUCAACCCUAGUAGGCAUCCAUUCAACCCCUCCCACUCUAGGAACCCUUUCUCAUUUUUCUUUUAAUAAAUACGAGUUCACCCUG
rnacentral:lncRNA from 1 species